UAGAAAUAGCAGAAGUGAGCGUGAAACUGAAAGUAAAGGUACAUAUUCGAAACAAGAUGGAUGCCCCGCUGGACCCCACUAAACACUGCGUUGUGUGCUUGAUUGUCUGUAUUAUUAUUCAGGUGGCUGUGAAUGAUUGUGUAGAAAAACAAGCCUGGUAUGUCCGAAUACCGCUUCAUUUCUUGGCCUUCCUAUUUUCAUACGCUGGCACUUUCUGUUUCAUGGAGAUCACCGGUAUCAUGGGCAAAUAAUCCUUAGCCCUAAGGAGACCUUUAAUUAGGAUGUAACCACGCUAAAGGAAGGCAGACACGCAAGCGGUGCUAUCUACACAAGAGAUGCAAUGUUUAAAUUCUAAAUGAUAUUUUUUUGUACACUGAAUCUCAAUGUUAAAUACAUCCUCUAGAUUCCAUCAUUUGUCUAAAAAAAAGUUUGUUUUAAAAAAAAGGGAGAGAAGCUAAUUGCAUAUGUUGUGUAUAUCUCUUGAUUGUGUAUUUACGUAUAGUGGAUGUAACAUUUUGUUUUUAAAAGGGUUGAUAACAUGAAUUAAGUGAUUUCUUGGUUAUCCCCCAUGAUAGUAUUCUCUGGUCAAAAAGCAUAGUACCUAUAAAUAUAUACAUGCACUAUGUCAAUUAGAGGAGAAAAAAAUGUAUAGGCCCUACCUCUAAUCAUUUUUGCCUUGCAUUUCAACAAUAGCUUCUAUUACUUCUCUAUUUUACUUUGAAAUGUGAAAUCUGUAUAGCUUCUAUUACUUCUUUAUUUUACUUCGAAAUAUCUGUCACACAUGAAUGUUGUACAUCUGUUUUCUAGGCAAAUAAAAUUUGUUGGGAUUGAAACAAAAAAAGAGUACUAGGUUUUCAUUCUUUAAUACAAAUGUUGUUAUUGGGUGAUGUGUUGAAUGUUGUACAUCUGUUUUCUAGGCAAAUAAAAUUUGUUGGGAUUGAAACAAAAAAAGAGUACUAGGUUUUCAUUCUUUAAUACAAAUGAUGUUAUUGGGUGAUGUGUUGAAUGUUGUACAUCUGUUUUCUACCCAAAAUAAAAUUUGCUGGGAUUGAAACACACAAAAAGAGAACUAGGUUCUAUAAUACAAAUGUUGUUACUGGGUGAUGUGUUGAAUGUUGUACAUCUGUUUUCUACCCAAAAUAAAAUUUGCUGGGAUUGAAAUACACAAAAAGAGUACUAGGUUCUAUAAUACAAAUGUUGUUAUUGGGUGAUGUGUUGAAUGUUAUGCUCAAGUGUUUCUUCUCUUUGACUUUCUAUUUCUGCAGGUGGAUGUGUUCUGGAAAUAGCAAAACAAAUCAUCUGCUACUUUAUUAUAGAACUAAGACAUUAAAAUUUAAGUAUUUCAAACAAGCUUGCAUAAAUAAGAGCAUUUAUUACUCUUUUUAUUUUUAUUGAAUUUUUUGUAUGAAUGACAUCACAAAGCUGUGGCAAUGAAGUAAUAUUCAUAAUUUGUUAGAAGGAACCAGAAUUACUCAUCUUUCCUAAGUAUACAAUAUACAGGUUGUUUUUCUGUGCCAUUAUCCAAUGUAAUUGCAGUUUUAUUUGUUCUUUGAAAAAGCCAAAGAAAUAUUGUAAAUUUCUUUGAGACACUAGUUGAGAGGACCAGUGGGGUUGAUACCAUACUGGAAACAAAACAACUCAAGACAGUUGGUGUAUUUAAGAAACAGUUGUAUUUCACCAAAUCAAACAUUAUAUUGACAUGAUCACACACACACACAUCCCAGUCUUCUCUCUCUCGUAACACACCAUCUCUGAACACAAAAACACUUUGGGUUGUGAUCAUGUACACAAUCACACAGCUCAGCCUUCCCUGAUGUACAAAGUACACAUCUAAUCAUUAGAGUCACAAGGAAUGACACUGUUCACAAUAUUUUGUUGAUAAAAGAAUUUCUUGUAUUCGAUUGUUGCUUUCUAUUGUUAUAAAAAAAAACUGCUUUAAAAUACUAGAUCAGUUACCUGUUGAAAGAUUAAUCAAUUUGCAGUAAAUAGAUAUUAAGGGAAGCUUAAAAACAGAAAGUUUGAAAAUGUAAUUCUGCUGGAUAAAAAAAACAAAAAAAAACCUCAAAUUGUAGUCUGCAAGUUCCACAUGAUAAGUAAUAUAAAAAAAAAAAAAAAAAUAUUUAU